rnacentral:rRNA from 1 species
AGCAGUCGAGCGGAACGAUGGAGCUUGCUCCAGGCGUCGAGCGGCGGACGGGUGAGUAAUGCAUAGGAAUCUGCCCGGUAGUGGGGGAUAACCUGGGGAAACCCAGGCUAAUACCGCAUACGUCCUACGGGAGAAAGCAGGGGAUCUUCGGACCUUGCGCUAUCGGAUGAGCCUAUGUCGGAUUAGCUUGUUGGUGAGGUAAUGGCUCACCAAGGCGACGAUCCGUAGCUGGUCUGAGAGGAUGAUCAGCCACAUCGGGACUGAGACACGGCCCGAACUCCUACGGGAGGCAGCAGUGGGGAAUAUUGGACAAUGGGCGAAAGCCUGAUCCAGCCAUGCCGCGUGUGUGAAGAAGGCUUUCGGGUUGUAAAGCACUUUCAGUGAGGAAGAAGGCCUUGGGGCUAAUACCCCCGAGGAAGGACAUCACUCACAGAAGAAGCACCGGCUAACUCCGUGCCAGCAGCCGCGGUAAUACGGAGGGUGCGAGCGUUAAUCGGAAUUACUGGGCGUAAAGCGCGCGUAGGCGGCGUGAUAAGCCGGUUGUGAAAGCCCCGGGCUCAACCUGGGAACGGCAUCCGGAACUGUCAGGCUAGAGUGCAGGAGAGGAAGGUAGAAUUCCCGGUGUAGCGGUGAAAUGCGUAGAGAUCGGGAGGAAUACCAGUGGCGAAGGCGGCCUUCUGGACUGACACUGACGCUGAGGUGCGAAAGCGUGGGUAGCAAACAGGAUUAGAUACCCUGGUAGUCCACGCCGUAAACGAUGUCGACUAGCCGUUGGGGUCCUUGAGACCUUUGUGGCGCAGUUAACGCGAUAAGUCGACCGCCUGGGGAGUACGGCCGCAAGGUUAAAACUCAAAUGAAUUGACGGGGCCCGCACAAGCGGUGGAGCAUGUGGUUAAUUCGAUGCACGCGAGAUCUUACCUACCUGACAUCGUGCGACUUCAGAGAUGGAUGGUGCUCCGGGACGCACAGACGGUGCUGCAUGGCUGUCGUCAGCUCGUGUUGUGAUGUAGGGUUAGUCGUACCGAGCGCAACUAGUCUAUUGCUAGCGUAUCGUCGGAACUUAGUAACUGCCGGUACAAGUGGAGCAGUUGUCA